CCUACGGGAGGCUGCAGUGAGGAAUAUUGGUCAAUGGACGAGAGUCUGAACCAGCCAAGUAGCGUGAAGGAUGACUGCCCUAUGGGUUGUAAACUUCUUUUAUAUGGGAAUAAAAUGUUCCACGUGUGGGAUUUUGUAUGUACCAUAUGAAUAAGGAUCGGCUAACUCCGUGCCAGCAGCCGCGGUAAUACGGAGGAUCCGAGCGUUAUCCGGAUUUAUUGGGUUUAAAGGGAGCGUAGGUGGAUUGUUAAGUCAGUUGUGAAAGUUUGCGGCUCAACCGUAAAAUUGCAGUUGAAACUGGCAGUCUUGAGUACAGUAGAGGUGGGCGGAAUUCGUGGUGUAGCGGUGAAAUGCUUAGAUAUCACGAAGAACUCCGAUUGCGAAGGCAGCUCACUGGACUGCAACUGACGCUGAGGAGCGAAAGCGUGGGUAGCAAACAGGAUUAGAUACCCUAGUAGUC
rnacentral:rRNA from 1 species